AUUGAACGCUGGCGGCAGGCCUAACACAUGCAAGUCGAGCGGCAGCGGGAAAGUAGCUUGCUACUUUUGCCGGCGAGCGGCGGACGGGUGAGUAAUGCCUGGGAAAUUGCCCAGUCGAGGGGGAUAACAGUUGGAAACGACUGCUAAUACCGCAUACGCCCUACGGGGGAAAGCAGGGGACCUUCGGGCCUUGCGCGAUUGGAUAUGCCCAGGUGGGAUUAGCUAGUUGGUGAGGUAAUGGCUCACCAAGGCGACGAUCCCUAGCUGGUCUGGGAGGAUGGUCAGCCACACUGGAACUGGGACCCGGGCCAGACUCCUACGGGAGGCAGCAGUGGGGAAUAUUGCACAAUGGGGGAAACCCUGAUUCAGCCAUGCCGCGUGUGUGAAGAAGGCCUUUGGGUUGUAAAGCACUUUCAGCGAGGAGGAAAGGUUGAUGCCUAAUACGUAUCAACUGUGACGUUACUCGCAGAAGAAGCACCGGCUAACUCCGUGCCAGCCGCCGCCGUAA
rnacentral:rRNA from 1 species